GAAAAGAGGGUUGGAGACCUUCGUUAAAAUUCGGGCAGUCGAAUACGUUCUCAUGGUUUUCAUGUCGAAGAUCCGGUGUCGGGAAAAAUUCGUAUCCAAAACCAUCUGGCCAUCACUGAUUUGUGCUUCUUCAGUGAUUCUUGCCGCAAAUUACUUCACCACGCGAUAGUGUAAGAAUUCAGGCGUUCCUAAAGCUAACGUACCCAACAAUAGCGAAUCACUAGGCACAGGUACAUGAAAAUAUUCCAUUAAUAAAUUUUUGUGAUUUUGAUUUCCAGAAAACUAAAAAGAAGCAUUACUUGGGGUGCAUUGCUUGUCCUUUCAUAGUUUAUUGAAUGAAGGCAAUAAGGUGCCCAUUGAGCUUUCUAUAUGUGGAGAGCUUAAAGAUGGUAAAUUUUGGCCACUGCAAUUAUAGGGUUAUAGCUAUCAAAGUGAACAUAAUGGCUUAUGUUUAUAUGCAAAGGGCUACUGGGACUAAUAUAAGUGUCGUGUACUUAAUACCCAAUGUUCAUACUGUAUAGUUUGAACAUUCAGCUAAUUUGCUUUCCCAAUCCUGAUGGCAGUUACCACAUCUUGGUGGCAAACUUGAAUGUGUUUGAUUCCUGUCUUUCAAUUUCAACUGAAAUCAAAGGUAUUGGGAAAUCAGGAGCACUGGAUAAAAUUUGUGUGCCAAAUAAUGCUGUAAAUGGACAUUCUAUGCUAUUGUGUACCAUAGUGUUACAUGUCAUCCAAAUUUAUGGGAAACUAUUGAACAGCAUAGGUAAUAAAGUUUAAAGAAUUUUUUACUAGAUUCUAUCUUUCCCAUGAUCUUAGCUUUUUUUUGGUUUCCCAGUAGGUCUGGGUGGUGAUGAUUCAUAUUACGAUUUUGGGAUUAAACCGUGCUAUAAAGUAUCAUUUAAUGAAGUCGAAAUUUGAAUAUGGUUAAAUGAUUUACCUUUUAUUAUGAAGAUUGUGUUGAAGUUUGCAUUGGUUCAAGUUUCAUUGGCUAGCACUAGUUCAGAAGUAGGGAAAAUUUGGUAAGUUAGAUGUUAUUUUUGCUGCACAAGAUCUUAUUUGAUAAACAAUUGUUCGUAGAUUACCGGGGGAUAUAAAUAUGACACAAGAUCUAUGGUCCUAUUAAUCUUCUAACUAUUUCCAGGUUUAAAAAAAAAAAUGACUAUGUAAACAGAGCAUCUGUAGGUUUGUAUUUAGGUUAGUACUAAUAAUUUUUCCGUCUUGUUUGUUUUGCUUUCUUAGUUUUUAUUACAAUGGCAACGUAUCCUUGGCUUCUCAGUACGAAUACGUACAUGUGUAUUUUAGAUGCAAUUGUGGAACAGUUUGGAAAGAACCAACUGAAGAAAACUAGGAGAGUGAUGGCUGUUUUUCACACAUUACUACAUCAUCAAAGAAUUUUCGUUUUGACCAACCGUUAUUCCAAAUCAUCCUGGUUUUGGUAGGAAUUAUCUUCAUUGUACUUAAUGGCAUUUGCACUGAAAUUCUAUCUGUCUAAUACCAAAAGAAAGACUUGGAAGUUGUUGGUUUGUAUAUGAACAAAGUUAUCUCCGUUUGAUUUAAGCGUUAUUUAAAAAUUAAACGUGUUUAUUUUCACAAUUUCAAGGGUGUAAGCAUGUUGAAGACGGAACAGCCAUGAAGAUGAACGAAACCUAUAUGCCUAGCUGAGAGGACUAUUGAAGUAGGUAAUAAAGUAGAUCGAUACGAUAAUACAGUAAAGAACACUUGACAUCUCUUUCAAACAAAUUUGAUAUAAUUUUUCUACUUUGUGUAUCGAUUAACCGUUUUGAAAACCCCGAUGUUAAUUACUUUGGGAUAUACAUAGUUGUG